UUGGAUUUAAACACUAAAUUUUAAAGCUAUAUCUAAUCAAAAAUAUAAGCUCAUUCGAAAACAAACUGUAAAAACUAAUCCAUAGAAGAUUAUGUUGUACAUAAAUAACAUAAGUAACAAUUUUUCUAAACCAAAGCCCCAAAACCUCCAAAAUCCAAACUGAACUUCAUGUUGACCGUUCAGAAAAAAUAGAUAUUAUGAGCAGAGUGAAUGAAUAAUGUAACUUUUCGACAUUUUUUUUUUUUGUUUUU
rnacentral:lncRNA from 1 species